rnacentral:rRNA from 1 species
GAUGAACGCUGGCGGCGUGCUUAAUACAUGCAAGUCGAGCGAACGGACGAGAAGCUUGCUUCUCUGAUGUUAGCGGCGGACGGGUGAGUAACACGUGGAUAACCUACCUAUAAGACUGGGAUAACUUCGGGAAACCGUAGCUAAUACCGGAUAAUAUUCUGAACCGCAUGGUUCAUAAGUGAAAGACGGUCUUGCGGUCACUUAUCGAUGGAUCCGCGCUUCAUUAGCUAGUUGGUAAGUUAACGGCUUACCAAGGGAAGGAUGCAUAGCCGACCUGAGAGGGUGAUCGGCCACACUGGAACUGAGACACGGUCCAGACGCCUGCGGGAGGCAGCAGUAGGGAAUCUGCCGCAAUGGGCGAGAGCCUGACGGAGCAACGCCGCGUGAGUGAUGAAGGUCUUCGGAGCGUAAAACUCUGUUAUUAGGGAAGAACAGAUGUGUAAGUAACUGAGCACAGCUUGACGGUACCUAAUCAAAAAGCCCCGGCUAACUACGUG